UCUGUGAAGGCUAUACAAUUAAUACAUUUCUUGUUGCUUUGACACAAAAUGCAUACAGUUAACACAAAUUUAAAAUGCUUGAACUUCUUUUAGACACAAGCUCCACCAAGACCAAAACAAUGGAUCUUUACUGCCAAAUUUACAAAUACUUUCACACUGUAUGUCAGAACAGAUAACAUCAUGUUCUAAACCUAACUUAUAUGCUAAAGU